GCGAGGAUGGCGAAACUGGUAGACGCACUACUUUGAGGUGGUAGCGCCGUAAGGUGUAGGAGUUCGAAUCUCCUCCUGGGCA
rnacentral:tRNA from 1 species